rnacentral:rRNA from 1 species
UAAGAUUAAAUGUNCUCUGCCCAGUGCAAAGUAAAAGGCCGCGGUACUUUGACCGUGCUAAGGUAGCAUAAUAGCUUGUCUUUUAAAUGAGGUCUGGAAUGAAUGAGAAAACUGUUUUUUUAAUUAAUUUUUUAAAAUUAACCUUUUUUGGUGAAAAGGGCAAAAAAUAUAAAAAAAAAGAACGAGAAGAACCCUAAUAAAUUUUUAAAAAGAAUUGAAAAUUAUAUUUUUUGUUGGGGGCGAACAGGAAAGCAAAUUAACCUUUUUUUUCUUAAUGAUUAAUUUAGUAAAAUAAAUUACUAUAGGGAUAACAGCAAAAUUUUUUUAUAAGUUUUUGACCUCGAUGUUGGACUAGGAAGAAAAUAAAUUAGUAAUUUAUUUUUUUGGUA